AACGAGCGCUGGCGGCGUGCUUAACACAUGCAAGUCGAACGUGAACGCCUACGGGUAAGUAAAGUGGCGUACGGGUGAGUAACACGUAAGUAAUCUACCUUAGAGUCUGGAAUAACCUGCCGAAAGGCGGGCUAAUACUGGAUAGAUCGAGAGAUCCGUAAUGUUUCUCUCGGGAAAGGGAACCGCAAGGUACCUCGCUCUAAGAUGAGCUUGCGCUUCAUUAGCUUGAUGGUGGGGUAACGGCUCACCAUGGCUACGAUGAAUAGCUGGUCUAAGAGGAUGAUCAGCCACACUGGAACUGAAACACGGUCCAG
rnacentral:rRNA from 1 species